rnacentral:pre_miRNA from 3 species
UCUCCACCCUGCUCUGCGCUUUUAGCCUCUUUACAGUGCUGCCUUGUCUUCUCGCGUUCAAGCAGCAUUGUACAGGGCUAUGACGGCGCAGAGAGC